rnacentral:misc_RNA from 1 species
GCAACUACAGCAAAGCCACCAUGUAAGAUGUCUACAUUUUGCUUGCCAUUAUUUAGAAUAUCCAUUACGAUUUUGGGUCCAUUGCUUUUACGAAAUAUUUCCGUACUGUGUAAAUCUUGAAGUAAUAACACCAUUGUCUUCAAAGCAGAAGCAACAGCACGCUCACAAUCACUUGGAAUCUUAUAACAAAGAGAACAAAGCAAUUCUAAUCCCCCAUUUCUUAAUGCAAUCGAGGCAUUUCCA